rnacentral:lncRNA from 1 species
AUUUAUUUCCUUCUUUGUACAAAUGUCAACUCUCCUGACUGGCGGUGCAAAGGCUUCAGAUUCUCAACACUUAGCAGGGUGCUCAGAUGGCAAAAAUCAAACACAAAACAAGAUACUAUGGAGUGGCAGAGAUUUAGAAACCUCCAUCUGAAAGUUUUAAAUUUCUUAUUUUUGUUUUAUGUGCAAAAAAUCAGGCAUCAAGCACUAGGUAUUGAAAGUAGAGCUCUUUGCCUCACUGUAAUUUAUCAGCAUUGUCAAGGUACUGAUUUUUUUAAAAGCUAGUUAGCAUCUUCUAACGCUAAGCAACAGAAGGAAAACAAGUUUUCUUUCCUAGUUUUUUGUGAGCUAUUUUCUCCUCCCAGUUUCUCCCACUAAACUUCCACUGAAAUUGCUAGCUGAUCUGAGCCAACUGGGAGCGGAAUUUGGCGAACUGUCUUUAGCAUCCAAAGGCACAGGUGUGUUAGCGUGCGUAUGUUGGCAAGGAAAAUCCUAGACAUUUUCUGUUUCUUAAUGUGAGAAAACAUGUACAUAUUGUGUAUACAGUAAUGAGAUAUUUUGAAGUCAAAUCCCCAUUUAUACAUACAUUCACUUUCAGAUAUUCUAAUCUGCAACAAGAUCUUGGCAAUGGUCCUGACCUUUCUGUUUUUUGAUUUGUUUGCUUCUUYUACUGCUGUGUGAUCUCCUGGUAAUGCGGGUUACAGUCAUCACUAUUGUAUAUAUGUGCUUGCAUGUGUGUGCAUUGAUAAAUUCUCCCUUUCGGAUUUCUGAAUUUUCCAUUUCAAGUCCAGCCGGUACAAUUGUGAACUCAUCUUUCUAGUAUGCUCCUCCAUGUCAGAUUGCCAGAUACCAAGAUGUUUGACCAAGUGUUUCAAUUAAGUCCCCUGAGGAAAGCUGUCUGUAUACUCGUGAAAGGGCAUGCUCUGUGUAGGAUGACUGUGUACAGUAUAAAUCUAUAAAAUGUGGAAGUGUUUAUAAAUUUAUCUGCCAAAUAUUUAUCAUCCAUGUAACAAAUGCAAAGUUAUUUAGUGUACAUCAGAUUAAUAAAGGGGCAUUUUUUGCUCCA